CAAGUCAUAAUCUAAAAGCUCUAAUUCUUAAUGAAAUAGAAAUUUGGCUAUAACCCUUGAAGAGACGAUGUUUGCUUGACCACAUACCCACCAAUUUGCAAAUAUUUUUUCAACUGCUAUGGAAACUGCUGUAGGCAUCAUUGAAAAUGAUGUUGUUUCUGUCCAGCCAUAGAGUCCAUAAAGUCACCGAUAUGAUAUUGAAUUUUAUAACAUUGCUAGUGUUCUUUUGAUUUAUGGAGAAUAAGUUGUGGUAGAGGGCGUUGACGGAGUUUUCUUGCACUAAAUGCCUUGUUUCUUCGAGAUUUUCUUCCAAAAGCUUCUAGCUCUGGCACAGUGGAUGAAGAUAUGGUUGAUAUUUUCGAAAUCUGCUCUACAUGAUGCAUACCAUAUCAGAUUGAGGGAAGAUUUUGGAUUUCUCUUUUGAAUUACAUCCAUUAUGUUUAGUCUUUCAUGAAAUACUAUCCACAAGAAGAAUUUAUAUCUCUUAUGAAUUUUUUAUUGUCAAAGGUUGUCGAAGGAACCUGCACGUGCAAUUGGAUUGUUGAUGGUACUUUCUUCAAAGAUGGCUCUCUUGAUUGAAGCUAUGGAGAAAAGACCAUUGUUGUUUAAAGGCCGGUGGAGUUAUUGAUUUUUGAAGAGUUUCUGAUCAUCUUGUCAUUUGAAGUUUCCGGCGGAAUAGUAUGAAAUCCGGUAAAGUGCCAUCUGCUUUAUGGUGGUGGAACCAUCUGAAUUACAUGGUCUUGACCAAGGUAAUCUUUAAGCAAAAUAGAUGCAUGGAAAAAACCAGUAUAAUUGUAUUUCACCUUUACCUUUGCUUCAACCAGGUUAUCUAUAUUCACCUUUUCUUUAGCUACAUCAAGGAAUCAUUUCCAAUAUAAACAAAACUGUCUAAAUUCCAUGAGUGUAGGGGUAUGCCUCUGAAUCAUAGCCAGCCUCUAUAGCUUGGGAUUAAGGAAUGUGUGGCAUGUUUUGUAGGAAACCAUUUUUCAAAUUUGACAUAGUGUUUUCCAAUUGUUGACUAACCUGUUUCACUGUUGUUUCUACAAAGAAAUUAGGCCUGCUCUGCUUCAAGAAGGAUGAUUGCUUUAUCCGAGUGAAAAGGCUAGUAAGAUAAUUCAUAUUAUGUUUGUCUCUUAAAGGAGAACAUGAUUCUGCUCCAAUCGUCAUGGAAAUAUCUUUUGGUUAUGAUCACAGCCGCUUUAAGAUUUAAAGAAUUACCUGAGGCUCCCUACUUUUUGGUUUCUAGUGUUGAACUUUCCUUUCUUGAGCUUUCAUUUGAAAAGCAUAUGCUUUUCUUUUUCUUAUUUUCAUCCUCACCAUUAUCUGAUAGCACAUCUGCAUAUGUUUUCUUUGGGAUCUCAGAGUCUGAACAAGAAAGGUGAUACGCAUCAUAAAAUCUGCUUAAAGAAGAACAAGGCCUUUUUGAGAUCUAAUAAGGAGUAAAGGCGAUGAACAACAGAAAAGAUUUCCAUCCUUUCUUGUCAUUUCUUUCAAGGAUCAAUAUACUGCAUUUCCUUCCUUUGUUGUUAAUUUUGAAAAUUUCAGCUGUGUUACCAGACUUACUCUUGUUCUUUGUCUUUCUUAGCCACAUACAGCUAUCAACAUACCUUUUUUCUAUGAAAAAGUGUCUAUUUGUUGGGUUGUCAAGCAAAAGUUUGAAGCUUUUCCUAAUCCAAUCGAGUGUACCCGGAGUGACAUCCAUGGAGAAGCUUUUGUGAUAACAAACCUCUG